rnacentral:lncRNA from 1 species
GUGGUACAUGGAAAACAAAUGGUGAAGACGAUUAUGGAACAUCUGUUUUUUUUUGUUUUUUUUUUGUUUUGUUUUUGUUCAAAUGAACAAGAAAUUUAAACAGAGAGAACUUACGAAUCUAAAUGUAUAGAAAAACUAAGGAUUGACAAUUAGAACAAAAGUUUAGAGGAAGCUGGCAUUUGGUCUAAUAUUCUCUUAGCAUGAUUCCACAGGGUAAAAA